rnacentral:rRNA from 1 species
GACGAACGCUGGCGGCAGGCCUAACACAUGCAAGUCGAACGAGUGGCGGACGGGUGAGUAAUGUCUGGGAAACUGCCUGAUGGAGGGGGAUAACUACUGGAAACGGUAGCUAAUACCGCAUACCAUCAGAUGUGCCCAGAUGGGAUUAGCUGGUGGGUGGGGUAACGGUUCACCAGGGCGACGAUCCCUAGCUGGUCUGAGAGGCGGACCAGCAACACUGGAACUGAGAAGCGGUCCAGACGCCUACGGGAGGGAGCAGGGGGGAUUAUUGCACAAUGGGCGCAAGCCUGAUGCAGCCAUGCCGCGUGUAUGAAGAAGGCCUCCGGUUUGUAAAGUACUUUCAGCGGGGAGGCGUUACCCGCAGAAGAAGCACCGGCUAACUCCGUGCCAGCAGCCGGGGUAAUA